rnacentral:misc_RNA from 1 species
AUUCUAAUAGCUCUAACCAGUCGACAAAAUGAUCUAAUCUAUAGUUUCCAAUUUUCAACUAAUUCUUUACGUUAUCACUGUUAGAGACACAUUGCUUGCAAGAUUAUAAUUAAUUUUACUAAUUCAUUUUCAAAGUUGUUCUUUAGUUGCACACGCUAGCGCAUAUCUCAAGGCAUCGAUGCCUGUGAAUUAAAAUUGAAAAAGAAGACUAACCUGCAACUCAGUGGU